rnacentral:rRNA from 1 species
CUUUCAGCAGGGACGAAGCGAAAGUGACUGUACCUGCAGAAGAAGCACCGGCUAACUACGUGCCAGCAGCCGCGGUAAUACGUAGGGUGCAAGCGUUGUCCGGAUUUAUUGGGCGUAAAGAGCUCGUAGGCGGUUUGUCGCGUCGGAUGUGAAAACCCAAUGGCUUAACCUUGGGCCUGCAUUCGAUACGGGCAAACUAGAGUGUGGUAGGGGAGACUGGAACUCCUGGUGUAGCGGUGGAAUGCGCAGAUAUCAGGAAGAACACCGAUGGCGAAGGCAGGUCUCUGGGCCAUAACUGACGCUGAGGAGCGAAAGCGUGGGGAGCGAACAGGAUUAGAUACCCUGGUAGUCCACGCCGUAAACGGUGGGCGCUAGGUGUGGGGAUUGUUUCCACGAUCUCCGUGCCGUAGCUAACGCAUUAAGCGCCCCGCCUGGGGAGUACGGCCGCAAGGCUAAAACUCAAAGGAAUUGACGGGGGC